GUCCCUAUCGUCUAGAGGCCUAGGACAUCGCCCUUUCACGGCGGUAACCGGGGUUCUAAUCCCCGUAGGGACG
rnacentral:tRNA from 1 species